rnacentral:rRNA from 1 species
ACUCCUGCGGGAGGCAGCAGUGGGGAAUUUUGGACAAUGGGCGAAAGCCUGAUCCAGCAAUGCCGCGUGAGUGAAGAAGGCCUUCGGGUUGUAAAGCUCUUUUGUCAGGGAAGAAACGGAGAAAGCUAAUAUCUUUUGCUAAUGACGGUACCUGAAGAAUAAGCACCGGCUAACUACGUGCCAGCAGCCGCGGUAAUACGUAGGGUUCAAGCGUUAAUCGGAAUUACUGGGCGUAAAGCGUGCGCAGGCGGUUUUGUAAGUCUGAUGUGAAAUCCCCGGGCUCAACCUUGGAAGUGCAUUGGAGACUGCAAGGCUAGAAUCUGGCAGAGGGGGGUAGAAUUCCACGUGUAGCAGUGAAAUGCGUAGAUAUGUGGAGGAACACCGAUGGCGAAGGCAGCCCCCUGGGUCAAGAUUGACGCUCAUGCACGAAAGCGUGGGGAGCAAACAGGAUUAGAUACCCGACUAGUCCCAUGA